rnacentral:lncRNA from 1 species
UAUAAUUCAUCAGAUGUUAACAGGUAAUUUUUCUUUUAACUUCUUGUAUUGCAGCAGCAGUUGUUUUGUUAAAAAACGACUAUUACAGUACCUCAGGCAUGCGAGUGAUGGUCUAUUAUUAGAUCAGUGGUUAUGGCGAAUUAUAAGAAAGAAUAUAACACAACUGUUAGACUAUUACCCCAUGAGAGUUGAGCGAGCUAAAGAAAACUAAAACCACAUUAUCCCAGAUAGCCGCCAGCGCGGCCGGCUCUAAUUUGGUAAUUAGUGUAAUUUUAAUCACAGCCCACUUGGUUGAUAUUAAACUAAAUAUUUUGCAAGAAUUAGUAAAUUAUUUAACAAAUAAGACGGUCGCGCUACACUAUUGACAGGGACAAAGCUCGGCCCUUGGUUAUUCCUCGUUAUGAUAAAUGACCUCAUGAUCUCAGAUGAUCAGUUUAUGGGUGAUAUGAUUAAAUAUGCUGAUGAUACCAAUAUUUGGGAAUACCUUUCUUACCAAGAUAGUACUGAUUCCAUUCAGGAAGUGACAAACUCUGUUGUGGAUUGGUCAGUUUGUAAUAAAUUUGAACUUAACAACAUAAAACGCUCACUGAGUUUCAAGCGAUAUACAUAUACCCUUUAAAUUUGAACUUAAUAAAAAAAAUGUAAAGAAAUGGUAAUUAACUUUCAACAGAACCGGCCAGACUUUGCAACUAUUUUAAUACAGGGACAAACCACUGCUCGGGUAGAAAAUGCAAUAAUUCUCGGGAUGUCGAUAACUCAAGAUCUAAAAUGAACAUGUUAACAAAAUAACUGAGAAAGCUGCAAAACGUCUUUAUCUACUGAAACAACUGAAGAGGUCUGGUCUUGUUAGCAAAGAUUUAAAAUGCUUCUUUAUCGCAUCCAUCAGAACGAUCCUCGAAUAUGCUUGCCAUGCAGGUUUUCCAUUAUGGCUUACCUAAGUAUUUAUCGGACGUAAUUGAAAGAAUUCAAAAAGGGCAUUGCGUAUCAUUUUCCCGGAUCUAUCAUAUGAAGAUGCCUUAACUACUCUAGAUAUGAAGAGUCUAUGGUUGAGAAGAGAAGAUCUGUGUAGUAAACUUUUUAAAUUAAUUGUUGACGAUGAGAAUCAUAAACUCCACCAUUUAUUGCCUAUGAACGUUCCAGAUAUUUAUUACUUUAGAAGUUCAAAACAAUUUUAUAUUCCUAAGUUCCGUACAAAAGAUUUAGGAACACUUUUAUAAUGUAAAGUCUCUUAAAUGAAUAAUAUAUUAUGUAGAUGUCUUCUUAUCAUUUUAUUGUAUGUAUAUGUAUAGUAAUUUAUAAAUUAUUAUAGUGGUUUAUAAAUUUUAAAUUUUGUAUAAAAUUAUUGUAAAGCUUCAUGCAAUUCAGCCGAAAGGCUGCCAUAUGAUUCUAAUAAACGGUUUAUCUGUCUGUCUGUCUGUCUGUCUGUCUGUCUGUCUGUCUGUCUGUCUGUCUGUCUGUCUGUCUGUCUGUCUGUCUGUCUGUCUGUCUGUCUGUCUGUCUGUCUGUCUCUGUGUCUGUCUGUCUGUGUCUGUCUCUGUCUGUCUGUCUAGACAGCACUCUUUAUGAUACUUCAAAUUCAAUAUAUUUACUUGUUUGUUAUUUUAUCGAUUUACAACUUUGUCGCCGUGUUGUUCAACGCAGGAUAUUAAGGUUACAGAACACCUUUGAGUGUUAAUUUUGACUAAAAUUUUUUAUUGGUUUCCAUGAAAAGCAUUAGACUAGUUCUACUAUCUGACCAAGUUUGAACGAAAAAUGUUGAAAACUCGCAGAGUUAUUUAAUAAAAUACGUAUCGCUGCAAUAAGAAAAACAUUGAAAAUGUAAUAUUCAAAUUCAAUUUUCUCCCGAAGAAUUUUACGGUAAUUACUGAUUUUCAAACGAGUUGUGCUCCUGCGGGUUUUGACCAAUUUUUCUCAAAUUUUCACAGGACAUAGCUAAAGACGUCAGUUUCAAAAUUGUGUUCGGCUUUUCUUUAAUUUUGGAUAUUUUAAUAAUAAAGAGCAAUUCACUCAAACAAUUCAGAAAUAUAUUGCAGUCGUCAAAGAAAUCGCCAUAUCAGCGGAAUGACGAAAUAAACAAAAAAUUCCGAACACAAUUUUUUAGAACAACUAUUUUACUGUAUAAAAAUGAUAUUUUCAUAAAUAUAACUUAAAACCAGCAGGAGCAUAACUUAAAAGCGUAACGGUACCGCAAUUUAAGAUUUUCCUGAAUAAUUCUUAUAUUAUUUUAUUGUUUGUUAAUUUUACAACUUUACCAUAUUUUGCAUACACUGGCGAACAUUUGGUGAAAAUUUGAUUCAAAUCGGACUGAUAUUGAGCGCGCAGUAGCGAUUUUCCGCAAAACGCCAAAAAGGGUGUCCUGUAACCUUAAAUGUACACUCAAAAUUCCUCGUUAAACCGGUUUUCCCAAUUACCAUGAGGUCGCAAUUUCCCAAUUUGGGUGAGCCAAAAAAUAGUUAUAUAAUAUUCAAUAAUUUUUUCAUAUCUGAUAAUUAGUACCGUAUCUUUCAUUGAUAAUAUGAACUUGUAGACAUCUUGUAUUUGUAUAUACUAUUGUUUAGUUUUACAUUAGUUACAUUUGUUGAUCACAAAAUGAAAUUUAUUUUUACUGCAGUUAAUAAAAAUAUUAUAUAGAUAUUUCUACUAAUUAUGAAUUUAAUUUUAACUUACCUUGAAAUCUUGAUCUACUUAUUUUGACAGCGCUGCAUGGUAUGCUGUUAUAUUUUUCUAGACUGCAUGUAGUUUGUCUAAUUGCCGUCAAUAUGUUGUUAAUACGCCAUUAAAAACAUGUUUAAAAGUACGUUUGCUCAGAAUUGCUCUCAAAAUACGGGAAAUGGCAUUUCAACUGAGACACAAAAAUUUAAAAAAUCGGGAGGACACAUGUCCCCAGACCCACAAAGAAAUGCGCUCCCACUGCACAUUCUGGCUAAAUUUCCCAAUUUCAGUUAAACGCACAUUUUUUUAAAUUUUAGCCAACACCCUGUAAACACGUCCCAGUGGAAAAAAAUCACAUGCAAAAUGUACCGCCCCUAAUUAUACUCUGAUGGUCGUGCUGCAUAUUGAACUCAGGUGUUAUAAUUAUUUGUUCAUUUCACAGUAGGCUAGGAGGUCAAGUCGGUUCGAGUAAGUGAUAUUUCGGAACUGAAUCUAGUUCCUUCGAUAUCUGUAUAUAACUGUAUGUCUUAAAAUUUAUACUAUGGUUGUUGUCGUGCAUAUUGAACUCAGGUGUUAUUGCUGCCGCAGCGAGCAAGUGUUAAGCGAGCGAGCAAGGCAGCAGUAAAAUCGUACAGCUGUUCAAAGUCUCAAUUUUGCUGGAUCAUUUUCAACUGUUUUCAACCAACAUGCAUUUCGUCUCUACCACAAUGCAACGCGAAUAUGAAAUCCGAUAGCAAAAAAACUUGUUAUCCAAAGGCAAAACAGCGCGCAAGUUAACAGAUUCCACUUGAUCUUGGAAAAAAUUCAACAUAUAUAUUCUUGUUUAUGUGAAUAUCACUUCCAUAAUUAUCUGUCAUGUGUGAUUGCCCUUUUAACCCAUUGUCUUGGUACUUUUCACUCAUGACAAAAAUUAACUGCUAAUAUGCAUUAUUACGUACUGUUUAAUAAACGAGCGUCUUAUUAGGAGUGUCUUAGUAGUAGACCAGCUUUAGAUCUAAUACAACACGACCUACUCGUUUAUUAAACGGGCAGGUCGUGUUUUAUAAUGGGCUAGUAUUCCAAAGGUCGUAGGUUCGAUUCCCACCGUGGCCAAGCAUAUUUUUCAAGCCUGCCAUGUGUGAAUAUACACUCAGAGUAACAUCACAAGCAUCAAGAUACUGUCUUAUUAGUACUCUUUAUAUAACGACUACUAAUUAGGAGUGUUUUAUCAGGUUUAAAGCUACUGCACGUGACAUAUUAUAGCUGACAUGAUUUGUCAAUAAGCUUAUGAAUUAUUAAUGAGUGGUUGAACUUUAUAUAAUUAAUAAUUUGUACUUAAUAUGUGGGAAUAACAGGCGGCACUCGCUAUCUUUUAGGUAUUCAAGUAGUUAUUUGUUAGUGCAGACUCCACACUGGGAAAGCUGAAAAACAGCUUGACCGCGGUGGAAUUCGAACCAGCGACCUUUGGUAUGCUAGUUCAUCGCUCUACGAACUGAGCUACGAGAUCAAGUCGGUAUAUUAAACUCAGGUGUUAUUGUUAUUUGUUCAUGCUACUCUAAGUGCAGACUCCACAUCGAACAAGCUACAAACAGCUUGAACGCGGUGGGAUUCGAACCCGCGACCAAUAUGGUCUCCAAACGUCAGUUGCGGUGAGUCGUACCACAGUAUAAGACUCCAGGGUAUUAAAAUUUAUUGCGUUUUCAUUUGCUGUCUUCCGACAAUUCAUAAAGAUCUUUAGCUUUGACUACGAGUUUGACCACAUCAUGUACUGCGAGAUUUUUCAGCCAAAAGGAUAGCCACUACCUGUUAACUUUAGCAAGUGGUAGUUGAAGAUAUGUUGGGUAAGAACUUCAGCGUUUCCUCGAAAAUGAAGCGUUUUAAAACAAUUGAUUAAAACAAACUCGCUUUGAAAACCAUUUAUAAUCGACGUAGAAUAAACUCGUUAUCGUAUAUGAAACUGUCAAAGUGAUAGAUUUCGUAUUCAACGCGACUGUACGUCGACCUACGCAAAUUUGGCUUUAUGCUUUCACCAGCACCUUCAGGGAGAGCAGUAAAACAAAAGGUUUUGAUUUGGAACUUUCUUUAACCUUCUACGUGCGACAAACCAUUUCAUUUUGGCAAACAGGUCUAGGACUCUGUAUUAACUGCAUACAUCUCCCUUCUUCCAGAACGAGCAUGGAUUUUCUCUCUCUGAGCGUCAUGAGCUUGCUUCAUCUUAAUCUUUAACUGUUCGUAAGUUAAAUGUUGGACAAACAGGCACUUUUCAAAAAGCAUUUUUUAAACAUGUAGCAAUCUCCAUCUCGGCAAACGAACUCACAGCUAGGUUUCCCAAUUAAAACCAAAAUGUACCGUUUGCAGCUGAAGAGGCUGCAGAUAUUCCGUGUAGGCACUCUAUUAAAUUAGGGACCGGUCAUUAUUUAUGGCGGGGGGUGGCACCGAAGAGAAAAGGGUUGGGUAAACAAAAUUUUGAGUCAGUAAAAGGUUGGGUAAAUCAAAAACGAAACAACUCAAAGGUUGGGUAAUAAAAAUUUAUUGUCAAUUCCAAAGCAUGACUCACUCAAAUAUUGAAGACUGAAAACUUCAAAGUCAACAGUCAUAUGUCAAUACAAUAUGUGAAUCAAUCUAUAUCUUCAUCAUUUUCCGAUUUGUUGGGAGACAAAUGGUGUCUCCAAAGAAAGUAAAUGUGCAGACAACAUGAAACUUUAGACUGCAGAAAAGUCAGUAAAUUUCACAAGCCGAACGUUAUCAAACUAUCAAACAUUCACAAGCCGAACGUUAUCAAACGUAUCACAGAAGUGGUAAAGGACUAGUAAGAACGUCUGCGAGGGAGACUGUCAUGUGUGACAACUGAAUGACAUCCUUUUGUAACGUUUUUGGCCAGGGGUGGGUAUUUAUUUUUUAAAUGAUACUUGAGGUUGGGUAAUCAAAUUUUUGAUUUUUUAAUGGUUGGGUAAGCAAAAAUUUUGCCACGAAAAACAUUUCUCUUCGGUGCCACCCCCACCAUAAAUAAUGACCGGCCCUUAGCAUAUGUAAUAUUAUGUAAUUUAACAUAUGUAAUUUAACAUAUUUAAUACGCGUUGCCUAUUAUGAUUAAAAUGCUGACGUGUGCGCGCGCGCCCUUACUCCAGAGCGCCAUGUCACUUGCAUACCAGGGCGCAGUAAAACACGGGCGGCGAGACCAAGACAGCGCCCCUGAUUUUCAUGUACGUAGCACAAUUAAUUUAGUUGACAGUUGUGAUUUGACAACGCACGUAAGAUUUCGUCAUUUACCUUUAUAGGCUGUUUGCUGCGUCCCGAUAUCGUUCACUUUCAUUUCCCCUGUCUUGGAACUGAAAUAUUUUUACGGACACGCUGAGUUUAAAUCCGAAAAGUUCCCGCUCCGUAGACCUGCAGUUUUCUUACAAACUGUAAUUUUAUCUUCACUAAUAUCACGACAAAUUUUUUCAUUGUUCAACGACACGGAUCGAUUAUGUCACUCAAAAGGACCAAUUUCUAUUAACCAGUCUUUCUUUUAACAAAAGACCGGUUUUGCUCGAAUCAUUUUGAGUUAUGUAUAGUAUUAUGCGUGUUGGACGUAAACAACAUAUCUUGUCUACAACUUUGAGAAGAUACACAUGACGUUUUCUAAAAUCCUCAGUUCUAGAGAUAUCUCUUUAAAAUCACAAGGACGUUAAUGCUAAGUCGUUUGGCAAUGUCACUGGCCUGAAAAAUAACUUUUUUAACGCGAUCAAGGUAUUUAAAACAAAAGCAACGCGAAGCCAACGGAACGACUAGUAUAAAAUCUGCUCUGUAAACUUACGACGAAGUGGAGAAAUGUGUGCAUGAGCUGUUUAUUUGGUGAUUUCAACAUAUAUGAAAGCCCUUUUUCCAAUAAUACUCGCUAAUCGCAUAGAAUAACACCAACCGAUAUAAUGGUUCAAAUGCAAUGAUAAGUUGUCGCAUCCAGUAUGACUAGAUUUUUGUCAGCAGUCAUCACCAAAAUUUUGUUAAAAUUUUACUAAAUUAAGAAAAAUUUUACCAAAUGUCGGCUUCCCAAAUAAUUACAUCAUAAUAAUGCAAAAAAACAAUAGUUACGUCAUCAAAGUAGAAAAAAUAUGCACAAAAAGUAUCUCGAAAUACUUGUUGCUUUCAUCGUAUUGCAGUUUUUGGUAAUGAUAAGGCUUUAUUUCUUAGACUUGGCAGUUCUGUUUAUCACUUUGAGCACGUUAUUAAUUAAACAAGAAACACACAUUUUACCAAAAUGAUUACUAACAAUUAAAACCUUUCAGAUUUUACCAAAAUUUUACCGAAAAACCUUAUUACCAAAUUUUCUUGAAAAUUCACGAAAUUUUACAAACUUUUUACCAAAUCUGGUCACACUGAUUUCAUCUCAGAAACUCUGCUGGAAAUUUAAAUGCUGACUCAUUACAUAACAUUACCGUUUUACAUCGUUGUAUAAAACAUUCUGAUCGCAUGUAAGGAAUUAUUUGUCAGCCCAGAGACAUAGCCCAAAGAUAGAGAUAGAGCCAUCUCUACCUUCUCAGAGAGAGAGAGUUAUCUGUACCAGAGAUAGAGUUAUCUGUAAUCUUUUCAAAUUAAGUUGUAGACAAAAUAUGUUGUUUACGUCCAACACGCAUAAUAUUACAUAACUCAAUAUGAUUCGAGCAAAACCGGUCUUUUGUUAAAAUGAAAGACUGGUUAAUAGAAAUUGGUGCUUUUGAGUGACAUAAUCGUUUGCCGUCAUCGAUCUGUGUUGUUCAACAAUUUGUCGUGAAAUUAGUGAAGAUAAAAUUGCAGUUUUUGAGAAAACUGCAGGUUUGCGGAACGGGAACCUUUCGGAUUUGAACUCAGCGUGUUCGAUUAGUUCCCGUAAAAAUAUUUCAGUUCCUAGACUUGGAAAAUGAAAAUCGUUUUCUAGGCACUUUUCGAGUCCACAACAAACGGCCUAUUAGCACAAGUUAAUGGUUAUUUUUACAAACUCUAAGUAGGUUAAUGGUUAUUUAUGCAUUUUAUUUGAUUAUCGUGUAUUAUUUUCUUUACAUUCAAGAGUUUUGCUUCAUCAGGAAUGAAUUCGUCCAAGGAACACAUAAACUGGAUAACCGUGGGGAAAAUGAUCAAUCUAAUUAAGAAACCUGUCGCUUUGUACACCACCCAUAUCGUGGAAAGAUGGCAUGUCACACUGUGUAAAGAUUGCCUUCCGUUUGGGCAGUGCCUAAUUCCUGGAAAUUGCCAAAUGAAAAAGAAGCCUGACGACCUUUGCCGUUCUUGCAAUGGAUGGUACAAAGAGCUGGCUAAAUCGCAUCGAACUAACAAUGAACGAAAGAUCGAAUGGCGUAAAAACUGCGACACAUCAAAGUUUCCUGUUGAUCCAUGGGAGGUAGCUAAGUUCUUCAUGCCUUUCCUUGGAGACAACAAGGGCACCGUUAUUGAAGCAGAAUCCACUGAUUUAUCACAUCUUUUGAACGUUCUUGUAUGGAUGAAAGAUGUAGCUUUUGCUCCAGACAGGCGUGUGGAUCUCGAUCUCGUUAAUGAUCUUCGUUCAGGAGUUAGAAACCCUUGGGCGCAUGCACCAAACCAAGAAUUAGCCGAUGCUGAUUUUAACAACGCUUUUGAUAUUGCCAAUAAGUUUCUUACCGACCUUGAUAAUGUUUUUAGCUGU